AGUGAUUUGAUAUUGUUUUGACUGUCAUCUGAUUUCUCAUAACCUUGUUUUUCAUGAAUGUUACUGUGUGUAUAAUAUUUAUGAUAGUGUAUCCUUUUGUAGUACAUCUAUUGCCUUCAUUAUCAAAGAUAAAUUGCUCUUUUCUCUGGAUAUAUUAUACGCUUGAGCAGCAACAAGAGAGAGAUCGUUCUUCAGUAUAUAUUUGAAUUCUGUGUCAUGCGGAAAGAUCAUUUUUCAGCUCUUUUCACAUCUUCCUUCUAAAUUAAUCAAAAAAUGUCUCUUCAUAAGCGGUGUUACUUUGCCUAAAGAAUUCCAGCCUAGUUCUUGCAUAUAUAUGCAUGUAAACAUUCACAGGGGUUGUACACCAGAAAGCAUAGACUACAGGUAAUCAUAUUCCAAGUAGGAAAUGUACAAGGAAGAAGACUUCAGAACUGUGACUUCUGAAGAAGGUUUUCCUGAAGGUUUUAAUAACGAUCACUCAUUUCGGUACUCCAUAUCAAGUAAGUACUCAGCACCGUAAGUAAGGAAUAUGCUCCUAAGUCUCCAAGACCCAUGUCUAAAGUUGUCAUAUGGGCAUCACCAUGCUGCAGCUUUUUAUGCCGCUAUUUGUUUUACAUUAGAAUGACUAUCACUGAUAUAAGGUGCAUUAGCAAUGCCAACAAUUUAUAGAUCAUUCUUUUUUUAUACUGACAUUCUGACCAAAGCAGGUGCAUCUCCAGGUAAGCAAGCAGUGUACACAGGAAUAACUGAUCUGAGAAGUACGGUUGUGGGAUUAGAUUAAGUAUGGCAGUGGUUUAUGAGGCGCAGUGCACUGGUAAUUCAGUGUGAUUUCUGAAUUGUGAAGUUUCUUGAAAAGUGCCUAGUAAUUACAUGCAAUGUGAGAAAUAUUACACUUUUUAAUACUCUAUAAGAAUACAGCACAGGGAGAACUGUAGAAAAUAAUGCACAACUUUAUCUGUCUUUAAACCUAUGGUAAUGAAAACAUGAACAAUUAGUCAUUCAACUGAAUGCUCUUUGUCAAAAUAUUAUUGAGAAAUCUAAGUACAAGACUUUAAGUAUUCUAACAAAACUUAGGGGUCUAUUUGUAAGCAUUUCUUUCAGCUGUGUGAGCAUACCUUGAUUUUACAGGCAUUACUGUUAUGGAUAGAUGAAUAGAAGUCUCUCUGUCCUAAUCAAAAACCUUUAAAAAUAUGCUUUGAGGUACACUGUCAUGAAGCCUAUUUCAGUGAAACAUUUGUCAUGAAAUUCUAUGUUAUAUUACAACUGUGAAAUGUUAUUGACACCUCUGGGGUUACACAAGUGUCAGUUUGUUUGGCAUAUUUCUUAUACUAUACCACAGAGGGAACAUGUAGACAAAGAGAAUACGCUGCUGUUUUAUAUUUUAAAAAAAUGUAAAAACCUGUGACAUCUGUAGGGGCUACAUUCUUUCUUACACAGAAGAAAAAAUUAUGUUCUGCAAAUUGAAAUUCAGAAUUCUGAUUGAUUCUUCCAUCAACACAGAUCUUUCUCCUUUUCAGGAGAGGUCUGAAGCAGAGUGGGAGGAGAAUUCAAGCAAACUGUUGUUUGGACUUCACUAAAUUCUCAGACAAAAUCAGAAUUCAGUCCUUCCAGUUUCAAUCCUGCUGAUUUCCAUUUGGUCCUUCAGAGCAUGUCUUCCACCAAAGUUUUGAAUCUUGGAGGACUUCUCAUCUAUUCACCUCUGAAUUCCUCUGAAGAAAAGUUUCAGGGGCAGAAGAAGAAAGUUUUCAUUUCCUAAUCUAUUAAUUUAUUUUCAUUAAUCUAUUUAAUCUGUUAAUUUAAUCCACAUUUACUGUGCUUUCCCAUCUAAUUCCUUGGUCAGCAGCGAUGAACUUUUGAGGAACAGAGAAAAGGAGGGAGCUUCUGUCAAGUAAGAAAAAUGUGGGACGAUAUGUCCUCUAGUGCUUUCUCAGGAUGCUUGCAAGUCAUUUACAAAGAGGCAGUCUUAUUCUCCUCCUGAGAAAAAGGACCAAAUACUGUUUAUUGUUGCUUGUCAUUGCCUCAAAAUUGUUAAAUAAGCUCUGAACUGUGACAUCUCCAAUGCAUAAGAAAAUUGUGUUCAUGGUAUAUCUGGUGGGCAUGCUGAUAGAGAGCAUUCCCAGGGAUGGGCCUGCUGGUCCUGAGCACUGCCAGUGGUUCAGUGCUGAUGCAGGGGAGUUUUACAAACAGAGAAAGAAGUGAUAAGAAAGGAUAAAAUUUACAGCUGAAACUUUUGAUUCAGUUUAAGGAACACAGGAAAACUCAAACUCACAAGACAUAAGAGAUUCUUAUUUUUACUUUAGUUGUAAAUGCUGUCUGCUCCUUAAUAAAGGUAGCUGAGUCUCAGCUAUUCAGAGUAUUUGACAAAAGAAGAAAUGGCGUUUAUGCCAAGAACAAUAAGAGAUAACUCAGGAUGUCCCUUCUGAAGGUUCCUUACAGCAUCUUUUUAAUUUUUGUCUACCUGAAUUAAGGAGCAUUUAUCUGAAGCAAUGCCUUUAAACAGUAAAGCUGCCCCUGGGCAACUUCAACUUGAUCAAAUUGCUGUACUGAAAAGAGAAUUUUAAGUCUAUUCUAGCUUAAGUUCACCUCUUACCUUUCCCCCCCUACUUUUUAAACCUUGUCACAUUAUAUUUUAAUCAAAUUCUGAAUGUUUCAACAUAACCAGCUGCGUAGAAGGAAUAUGCAUUACACACAGGUACCUUUAUGUCUCUUGCACAUCUUCCUCUAUCCAGACCUUAUUUUUUCCUUUAUAUACUGAACUGCACCUUGACGUCUUCUUUGCCAAGAGGAGGAAGAAGGGCAUAAAUAGCCCUCGACCACCCAGAGAGGCAGUUCACACAUUCAGGCCUAGGUGUCUCACCUGCUCAUCUAAUGAUACAUUGUGCAGCAAAAUGGAGGUCUCAGGUCUCUUUGUUUUCCUGCAACUUUCUUACUGCACUCCAGGGCAACUAUUUUCUGAAGAUCCUUGCUUGGAAGCCAACCUUUACCUUGACCCCUUGAGGUCUUGGUGCAGUUAGUCCUGAGAACAGAGUCAAGGAUGUAGAUGUAGCAACUACUUCCCUGGGUACUUUGACUCUGACCAGUGAUUUGCAGAGCACGGAGAGGCUUAACUCUUCACAUAAAUCCAUUCUGAGGUGGGGAGUUCAGCCUUCCAAGGAAAAUGAAACAAGAUAAAAGUGAGUUACAGACAGCUAGAACAACUUUUUCAAAACACAAUCACAUUUAGUAGUGCCUCUGAAUUACAAACAAACAGCUCCAUUUCUUUCUGAAAAUUGUGAGGCAUUUCCCUCAGCAGCAAUAACCACUUCUAGCAAAUUUAAUUCCUGCUGCAUAUCUUCAGUGUUUCCCACUUUUGUCUCACUCUGUCUUGCUGUGAGCGCUACUUUUGUCUAAAAGCAAGUUUUGUGCCUGCGGUUCUUCUGACCCUCGUUCCUUGUGGGAUCAUUAUCUAAGAAUGGGUGUCCAGUCCUUUAUUAGUCCCGCUGGCUUUCUGAGGUAGAGAGGGUGGAGAUGGUCUGGUCGAAAUGUUCUUUAUAAAGCAGUCCGUUCUCUCCAGUGCCAAGGAUAAGUUGUAAACAGCACAGAAUGGUGGGGAAACUGAGCAAAUUAAAAGUAGUCUCAUGUAGUCCAAAAUAUAGUCAAAGUAUCAGUAGUGCAGAACCUGAUUCUGGUGUCUAUUAAACCAUGCUUUACAGAAGGCCUGAGGUUGGAAGUGACCUCUAGAGGUCACCUGGUCCAACCCCCCUGCUUAAGCAGGGCCAUCCAGAACCAGUUGCCCAGGACCAUGUCCAGGAAGCUUUUGAAUAUCUCCAAGGAUGGAGACUCCACAACCGCUCUGGGCAACCUGCACCAGUGCUCAGUCACCCUCACAUAAGGGUUUAUGCCCUUAUUUUAUAAAAUACAAGGAAAGACUUAAAAGUUCUCUGGUCUGUUGAUGAAAAAAUAAAACUCACUAAAAUCACAAAAAAUCAUUAUAUUAGAAAAUAUAUAUUGUGACAGUAUGGGAAACUAACAUUUUUUAAAUAGGCAGCUUUUUAUUUGUUUAUUUGCUUUUCAUUACAGUUAUUGCUAUAGUCAAACUGUAAACUGAUGCUAGGGGUAUACAAUAGGAUUUUCACUGUUCUAGUCAAGAUUCGUUUGAUGUGUUUACUGGGCUUGAGGGAAUAACAUAGCUCAUGCUUAAGUGGAACUUUCAGUUUCAUAAACAGCUAAUUGAGUGAAGUGCAUUUAUCAUACGUUUGAAACUGAGACUGCCAUGAGUGCAUCUUGGGGGAAAAAAAAAGAAUUGCUUGAAUUAAGUAUCCAGUUCUACUAAUUUGCUAAUAUGCUAGAAGAUAAUUCAGACUGUGUUUAUACAUGUAUUUCUGCAAAAUAUAAUGAUUUUUUUUCUGAAUAUUAGAAUGAGCAAGAAAUGAGCUUCUCUGUGCUUCUAGGAAAGUUAUAAAGUUAAUCUCUGAAUAAAUUCUCUCUGGACACUAAUGCAAUAGUAUAAUACACCACCUCUUAUACAAGAAUGAGCAAACAUUUUCAUUAGUUUGUUUAUCACAGGAACACAGACAUAUUGGUCAGAAGGGAACUUCGGAAGCCAUGUUGUCCAACUGCCCAUUUCAAGUAGGACUGUCGCUAACCCUGGAUCAGAUCAGCUUUUUUGCAUCUUUCACCUGCUCUGGUUCCAGCACAGCAUUACCCUGCCUUUGAGAGAGGGAUUUCCUGAUGCCCAGUCUGAACCCUCCAAGCCACUGUUUCUGGCUGUUGCUCACUGUUCUGUCAUCUCACAGUAACCAGAGUUGAGCUCCAUGCUUUAACCUCCUCUUCUCCAAAGUAAACAAGCCCAGCACUCUCAAGUCUCCCUGGACGUCACAUGUUGUAGGCCACUGACUGUUUGUACCUGCUCCCUUGUUUCAUCAUCCCUUAUGAAGUACCCAAAAGUGUGUCCCAGGUGCAGCCUCUCCAGCUCUGAGUAGAGUAGUGAUAAUAACUUCUCUCGAUCAAGUGGCUACAUUCCUCCUUAAUAUAGUAGUCAGUUUGCCUUAUUGAUGGCAGGAACACCUUCAUCCAGUUAUCAGCCAGGUAACUCCAUCCCAUCAAAACCCAGUGCACAAUGUAACUCCCAGAUCCUUUUCCUCAGUCAGCCAUUCCACAGCCUGCAGUGAUGCAUGAAGCUGUUCUGCACCAGGUGUGAAACUUUGCACAUUUCCUUGUCCAGCUUCCUGAAGCUUCUGCUGACUCAGUCCUCAAGUUUAUCAGGGUCCUUCUGGUUUAAUGCUCUACUAUUCAGUGUGUCAAACUGCUUUUUGUUUGUCCACAUAGCCAGUCAUUUCAUCUUGAUGAUGGUGACAGUAGGGUUGAAUGUUCAUGGGAAAGAGUCAGGGUAAAGGCCAGCAAGGCAGAUAUCAUAGUGGGAGUCUCUUACAGACCACCCAGCCAGGAUGAAGAGGCAGUCCACCUUGGACUUCCAGAGGGCAGACUUUGGACUGUUUAGGGGACUGGUUGGCAGAGUCCUUUGGGAGGCAGUCCUGAAGGGCAAAGGAGUCCAGGAAGGCUGGACAUUCUUCAAGAAGGAAAUCUUAAAGGUGCAGGACCAGGCCAUCCCCACGUGCUGGAAGACGAGCCGGCAGGGAAGAAGACCAGCCUGGCUGAACAGAGAGUUUUGGCUGGAACUCAGGGUUAAAAAGGAGAGUUUGUGGCCUUUGGAAGAAGGGGCAGGCAACUCAGGAGGACUACAAGCAUGUCGUGAGGUUAUGCAGGGAGAAAAUUAGAAGGGCCAAAGCCCAGCUAGAACUUAAUCUGGCUACCUCCAUAAAAGACAAUAAAAAUGUUUCUACAAAUACAUUAGCAACAAAAGGAGGGCUAAGGAGAAUCUCCAUCCUUUAUUGAAUGCAUGGGGAAACACAGUGACAAAGGAUGAGGAAAAGGCUGAGGUACUUAAUGCCUCCUUUGCCUCAGUCUUUAAUAGCAAGACCAGCUGUUCUCUGGGUACCCAGCCCCCUGAGGUGGAAGACAGGGACAGGGAGCAGAAUGAAGCCCUCGUAAUCCAAGGGGAAAUGGUUAACAACCUGCUACACCACUUAGAUACACACAAGUCUAUGGGGCCAGAUGGGAUCCACCCAAGGGUACUGAGGGAGCUGGCAGAAGUGCUCACCAAGCCUCUUUCCAUCAUUUAUCAGCAGUCCUGGCUAACCAGGGAGGUGCCAGUUGACUGGAGGUUAGCCAAUGUGACACCCAUCUACAAGAAGGGCCAGAAGGAAGAUGUGGGGAACUACAGGCCUGUCAGUCUGGCCUUGGUGCCAGGGAAGGUUAUGAAGCAGAUCAUCUUGAGUGCCAUCACCUGGCAUGUACAGGGCAACCAGGUGAUCAGGCCCAGUCAGCAUGGGUGUAUGAAAGGCAGGUCCUGCUUGACUAACCUCAUCUUCUAUGACAAGGUGACUCGCUUAGUGAAUAAGGGAAAGGCUGCGGAUGAUGCCUACCUGGACUUUAAUAAAGCCUUUGACACCAUUUCCCACAGCAUUCUCCUGGAGAAACUGGCUGCUCACGACUUGGAUGGGUGUAUGCUUUGCUGGGUAAAAAGCUGGCUGGAUGGCCUUGCCCAAAGAGUUGUGGUGAAUGGAGUUAAAUCCAGUUGGCAGCUGGUCACAAGUGGUGUUCUCCAGGGCUCUGUACUGGGGCCAGUUCUCCUUAAUAUCUUUAUCAAUGAUCUGGACGAGGGGAUCAAGUGCACCCUCAGUAAGUUUACAGACGACACCAAGUUGUGAGGGAGUGUUGAUCUGCUUGAGGGUAGGAAGGCUCUGCAGAGGGAUCUGGACAGGCUGGAUCAAUGGGCUGAGGCCAACUGGAUGAGGUUCAACAAGGCUUAGUGCCGGGUCCUGCACUUGGGUCUUAACAACCCCAUUCAACACUACAGGCUUGCGGCAGAGUGGCUGGAAAGCUGCCCAGCAGAAAAGGUGAGGCCACACCUCGAGUACUGUGUUCAGUUUUGGACCUCUGACUACAAGACAGAUAUUGAGAUGCUGGAGUGCAUCUGCAGAAGAGCAAUGAGGCUGAUGAAGGGUCUAGAGAGCAAGUCGUAUGAGGAGCAUCUGAGGGAACUGAGGUUGUUUAGUCUGGAGAAAAGGAGGCUGAGGGGACACCUUAUUGCUCUCUACAACUACCUGAAAGGAGGUCAUAGCCAGGUGGGUGUUGGUCUCUUCUCCCAAGUAGCAAGUGAUAGAAUGAGUGGAAAUGGCCUCAAGUUGCACUGGGGGAGGUUUAGAUUGGAUAUUAGGAAAAAUUUCUUCACUGAAAGGGUUAUCAAGCAUUGGAACAGGCUUCCCAGGGAAAUGGUUGAGUCACCAUCUCUGGAGGUAUUUUUUAAAAGACGUGUAGAUGUGGUACUUAGGGACAUGGUUUAGUGGUGGGCUUGGCAGUGUUAGGCUAAUGGUUGGACUCAAUGAUCUUAAAGGUCUUUUCCAACCUAAAUGAUUCUAUGAUUCUAGAAUUCUAUGAUCAUAGAAGGCAUGCCUUUGUUAUCCUUUAUUAGAAAUUUGCCUGCAUUGAAUAACUGACUUAUAUUAGUCAGUUCUAAAUCAUUUACAGGUUUCUUAGUAUAUAUUUUAUGUUUUCUCUGUUAUGAGUAUGAUUUCUUUCUUCAUAAUUAUGAGGCUUUGAUAACCAUGCAUUUCUCUGAACAAGUAUUACAGUUAAGCUCAGUUGAUGAUUGUCAUCAGGAGCAAAAUGCAGACUUAGUCACCACCUUCUUAAAUCUCCGCAAGCGUGUGAUGUCAGUGGAUUUCAGCUGCCUCCUGCAAAGACAAACAGAAAUAAAUACUGGAAUGCACAUGUCUGUUGGUAAGAAGUUACUCUGUUUUGUGGGUUUUGUGCCAAGUGACCACCAUUAUAUACAUCACUGUAAAGCAUUGCUGUGAAGUAGAGUUAGUGAGCUGUGGAGUCUCCAGCACUGCAGGUAUGGAAAAGGAAGUUAGACAAGCAUCAGCCCAGAAUUCACCAUGAAUCUUAGUUUGUCACAUUUAACUAUAUAUUCCAAGUUAGAUAGAAGUAUAAUGAGACCAUAGAAAGAUUUAGUAAGGAUAGAGAGUCAUAGUGAAAACAAUGCUGAAUGAGGCUGAUAAUUGAGUGCUUUACUGAAGCAUACCACACUGCUAAGACUUCAGUGUGAGCACAUUUCAGGGAGAACAAGAACAAAAGUACAUAGUAAUACAUGUAGUUGCUGCAGUUACUACAUAAGUAUUCACUCAUUAAAAUAAUACAGAAAAACAACAACUCAGUGUUAGACUGGAAUGCAAGAGGAUGAGUAAACACUUGUUGUGGAAAGGAUGCCCCCCUAAAAAGUUCAAGCGUGAGCCAUAUGCAUACCCUCUGCAGGAGACCUCAGAAUAAGCAUUAAAGGGGUUCCAAUGCAUGAAAUAGUUUAAAGGACUUCAAAAGUUUGGACCUCAUAAUUGUUCUCAGGAUAUUUUAUUACAUUUGUGUUUGUGCUUUUCAAGGCAAAUUUGGACCAGUAGUUUGCAGCUGCUGCACUACAUUCAGAAUUCUGCAGAAUCUCACUUUGGAUCCCUAGUUGUAUCUAUGUGUUUAAAUCCAAGAGCAGGAGAAACAGCGGAGAAGAGUGAAAAACAAAGUCACAGUGGGGAAAGAACAUGCGUGGAACACCGUUUGCCGUCAAGCAUGAUCAUCCAACGCCGUCAAGGAUAGCAUUUAUCUAAGCCUUACAGUAGACUGGUGAAUAGAGUGGUUACUCCAAUAGCAUGUAGUUUUUUUCAUGUUUAAAAAAAAAUGGAGAUUCA